rnacentral:rRNA from 1 species
CUCCUGGGGUAAAAAGGGCAAGUCGAACGAGAACUUCGGAUUCUAGUGGCGGACGGGUGAGUAACGCGUGACCUUUCGAAAUUAGGAGGGGGAUAACGGUUGGAAACGACCGCUAAUACCCCUUAUGCCGAGAGGUGAAAUCUAAUUGGCCUGAGGAUGAGCUCGCGUCCGAUUAGCUAGUUGGUGGAGUAAGAGCCCACCAAGGCGACGAUCGGUAGCUGGUCUGAGAGGAUGAUCAGCCACACUGGGACUGAGACACGGCCCAGACUCCUACGGGAGGCAGCAGUGGGGAAUUUUCCGCAAUGGGCGAAAGCCUGACGGAGCAAGACCGCGUGAGGGAAGAAGGUCUGUGGAUUGUAAACCUCUUUUGAUUGGGAAGAAUACUGACGGUACCAAUCGAAUCAGCCUCGGCUAACUCCGUGCCAGCAGCCGCGGUAAUA